AACGAACGCUGGCGGCAGGCCUAAUACAUGCAAGUCGAACGCUCCAGCAAUGGAGAGUGGCAGACGGGUGAGUAACGCGUGGGAACCUUCCCAGUGGUACGGAAUAGCUCAGGGAAACUUGAGGUAAUACCGUAUACGCCCUUCGGGGGAAAGAUUUAUCGCCAUUGGAUGGGCCCGCGUCGGAUUAGCUAGUUGGUGGGGUAAUGGCCCACCAAGGCGACGAUCCGUAGCUGGUCUGAGAGGAUGAUCAGCCACACUGGGACUGAGACACGGCCCAGACUCCUACGGGAGGCAGCAGUAGGGGAUAUUGGACAAUGGGCGCAAGCCUGAUCCAGCCAUGCCGCGUGAGUGACGAAGGCCUUCGGGUUGUAAAGCUCUUUCGGCGGGGACGAUAAUGACGGUACCCGCAGAAUAAGCUCCGGCUAACUUCGUGCCAGCCGCCGCCGUAACAC
rnacentral:rRNA from 1 species